UACGUAGGGUCCGAGCGUUGUCCGGAAUUACUGGGCGUAAAGAGCUCGUAGGCGGUUUGUCGCGUUGUCCGUGAAAACUCACAACUCAAUUGUGGGCGUGCGGGCGAUACGGGCAGACUGGAGUACUGCAGGGGAGACUGGAAUUCCUGGUGUAGCGGUGGAAUGCGCAGAUAUCAGGAGGAACACCGGUGGCGAAGGCGGGUCUCUGGGCAGUAACUGACGCUGAGGAGCGAAAGCGUGGGGAGCGAACAGG
rnacentral:rRNA from 1 species